GGUGGUAUAGUUUAGUGGUGGAGCGCUUGCCUGGCAAGCAUGAGGUCUUGGGUUCCAUCCCCAGUACCUUAA
rnacentral:tRNA from 1 species